UAAUCUAUCUAGGGUAUAUCCUCAUUUAACUAUGACAGACCUACACAUAACUGCUCAAAUCACUUGUUAUUGUAGGUCUAAUAACAUCAUUUAGUUUUUAAGAGAGUUUUUAGUGGGGUCUAUAUAAAACUAUGAU
rfam:Populus trichocarpa isolate Nisqually-1 chromosome 19, whole genome shotgun sequence.